rnacentral:rRNA from 1 species
GAUGAACGCUGGCGGCGUGCCUAAUACAUGCAAGUCGAGCGAACGGACGAGAAGCUUGCUUCUCUGAUGUUAGCGGCGGACGGGUGAGUAACACGUGGAUAACCUACCUAUAAGACUGAGAUAACUUCGGGGAACCGGAGCUAAUACCGGAUAAUAUUUUGAACCGCAUGGUUCAAAAGUGAAAGACGGUCUUGCUGUCACUUAUAGAUGGAUCCGCGCUGCAUUAGCUAGUUGGUAAGGUAACGGCUUACCAAGGCAACGAUGCAUAGCCGACCUGAGAGGGUGAUCGGCCACACUGGAACUGAGACACGGUCCAGACUCCUACGGGAGGCAGCAGUAGGGAAUCUUCCGCAAUGGGCGAAAGCCUGACGGAGCAACGCCGCGUGAGUGAUGAAGGUCUUCGGAUCGUAAAACUCUGUUAUUAGGGAAGAACAUAUGUGUAAGUAACUGUGCACAUCUUGACGGUACCUAAUCAGAAAGCCACGGCUAACUACGUG